UACAGAGGUGGCAAGCGUUGUUCGGAAUUACUGGGCGUAAAGGGCGCGUAGGCGGCCUUCUAAGUCAGACGUGAAAUCCCCAGGCUUAACUUGGGAACUGCGUCUGAUACUGGGAGGCUUGAGUGCGGGAGAGGGAUGUGGAAUUCCAGGUGUAGCGGUGAAAUGCGUAGAUAUCUGGAGGAACACCGGUGGCGAAGGCGGCAUCCUGGACUGGUCCUGACGCUCAGGAGCGAAAGCGUGGGGAGCGAUCCGG
rnacentral:rRNA from 1 species